CUACGGAGGACGCGAGCGUUAUCCGGAUUCAUUGGGUUUAAAGGGUGCGCAGGCGGCCGUGCAAGUCAGCGGUGAAAGCCCGGGGCUCAACCCCGGAAGUGCCGUUGAUACUGCAUGGCUGGAAUGCGGUCGAGGCGGGCGGAACGUGGCGUGUAGCGGGGAAAUGCGUAGAUAUGCCACAGAACGCCGAUCGCGGAGGCAGCUCGCCAGGCCUGCAUUGACGCUCGGGCACGAAAGCGUGGGGAUCGAACAGGAUUAGAUCCCCUGGUAGUCCACGCCGUAAACGAUGGGCGCUCGUCGUCGGCGGCAGACAGUCGGCGGCCGAGCGAAAGCGAUAAGCGCCCCACCUGGGGAGUACGGUCGCAAGGCUGAAACUCAAAUGAAUUGACGGGG
rnacentral:rRNA from 1 species